rnacentral:lncRNA from 1 species
GUCCCCGUCCCUGUCCCCGACCCCGUUCCUGUCCCCGUCCCCGUCCCCAGGGUGCCCCCCGUCCCCAGCGCCCCAUCCCCUCGUGUUUCAGGGAGCGCAUGACGGCGUCCGAGUGCCUCGUCCACCCCUGGAUCAAGGUGAGAGGGAGCUGGGGGGGGAGCAGGGCUGGGGCUGGGUCCCCCCCGGGUCCCCCCCCCAUCCCCGGGCACCGUGUACCAGGGGAGGGGGCGUGGGGACGAUGCCCGGCUUCGCCCCCCGCAGCCCCUGAGCAGGAAGCAGGCGGCGAAGCGGAGCCGCUCCUCCAUCAACAUGAAAAACUUCCGCAAGUUCAACGCCCGGAGGAAGUGGAAGCGCGGCUGCGAGAGCGAGCAGGAGGACGAGGGCAGCCACCCCGCCACGCUGCUGCGCCGGCGGAGAAGCAGCUGCUCCUGAGCCCCCCCCUUGGGGGGGGGGCCCCAAAAAGGGGCCUCUCCGGAAGGGGGGCUUCGGAGGGGGGGCCCCCCCAUUGGGGUGGGACCCCCCCAUUCCGGUGGCUUCGAGCACCUGGGAGCUGGGGCUGCUGCCCGGCCCCAGUGCUCCCAGUCCCGCGGUGCUGGAGGGGCGCUGGGGCAGUGCCCCCGGACCGGGCUCUGCUGCUGGACCCCCCCCCCCGCGGCGCCCCCCCCCCCGUCCCCCGAGCUGGCCCCCCGAAAUAAACGUCCCCCCCAUCCUCGUGUCCUGCAUCCACGCCGGCUUCCUCCUGCUCCUCCUCCUCCUCCUCCCCGCAGCCGGCACCUUGGGGACCCCCACGGGGCGCAGACCCCAUGCCCAAAGGAGCCCCAUGGGGAAACUGAGGCACGGCGCAUU